rnacentral:rRNA from 1 species
GACGAAGGUGGCUAGCGUUGUUCGGAAUCACUGGGCAUAAAGCGCGCGUAGGCGGCUACGUAAGUCGGGUGUGAAAUCCCUCGGCCCAACCGAGGAACUGCGCCCGAUACUGCAUGGCUUGAGGAUCAGAGGGGUGCAUGGAAUUUCCGGUGGAGCGGUGAAAUGCGUUGAUAUCGGAAGGAACGUCGGCGGCGAAAGCGGUGCACUGGCUGAUCUCUGACGCUGAUGCGCGAAAGCCAGGGGAGCAAACGGGAUUAGAAACCCGUGUAGU